rnacentral:rRNA from 1 species
UACGGAGGGUGCAAGCGUUAAUCGGAAUUACUGGGCGUAAAGCGCGCGUAGGCGGUUGGGUAAGUCAGAUGUGAAAGCCCCGGGCUUAACCUGGGAACUGCAUUUGAUACUGUCUGACUCGAGUAUGGUAGAGGGGGGUGGAAUUCCCGGAGUAGCGGUGAAAUGCGUAGAUAUCGGGAGGAACACCAGUGGCGAAGGCGGCCCCCUGGACCAAUACUGACGAUGAGGUGCGAAAGCGUGGGGAGCAAACAGG